AAAAGAUUGGAAACCCCUGCGAAUACCCAAGGCCAGGAGUGCUUGCUCUGAGUGAGGCUCAUCUUCAAAUCUGAAUGACCACAAGGAGAUUUGAUUAUACAUGUGAACACCUCAGAAGGCACAGCCCACCCAGAAGGCAGACAGGUCAGGCUGCUUUUUCUUCAUUGCUUGGAUUCAAUCCUCCGGGCGGCUCAGGCUCAAACAUAACUUAAGCAUGAUUAAACUUUAGAAGAAGCUGCCAGGAAGACUGUGAAAUCUUCAUGCCCAAGGAUCCCUAAAAUUAGGAGCAACAACCACUUGGCUCAGACGGUUUAUGGAGGCAAAGGUUUGGAUGGGAUUAGAGAUUUCUAAAUGUGAGUUCGUGUCCUCUGCCAGACCACCUUACUUCCACCAUUCCUCAGCAAAUCAAGAAAAACAGGAGAAAAGACAUGCCUUUCCAUAAGUUAAAUCUAUUCUGUUUUAAUUCUAUAUUAUAUCUGCUGUACAACUUCUUUUGUUUGUAACACCAUAUUGUUGCUAGUAACUGGAAAUUAAUUUUCACAUGCCUCAGCUUAGAA
rnacentral:lncRNA from 10 species